CGAAAGCCUGACGGAGCAACGCCGCGUGAGGGAUGAAGGCCUCUGGGCUGUAAACCUCUUUUAUCAAGGAAGAAGAUCUGACGGUACUUGAUGAAUAAGCCACGGCUAAUUCCGUGCCAGCAGCCGCGGUAAUACGGGAGUGGCAAGCGUUAUCCGGAAUUAUUGGGCGUAAAGCGUCCGCAGGCGGCCCAUAAAGUCUGCUGUUAAAACGUGGAGCUUAACUCCAUCAUGGCAGUGGAAACUGUUGGGCUUGAGUGUGGUAGGGGCAGAGGGAAUUCCCGGUGUAGCGGUGAAAUGCGUAGAUAUCGGGAAGAACACCAGUGGCGAAGGCGCUCUGCUGGGCCAUCACUGACGCUCAUGGACGAAAGCCAGGGGAGCG
rnacentral:rRNA from 1 species